ACAUGCAAGUCGAGCGGUAACAGAAAGUAGCUUGCUACUUUGCUGACGAGCGGCGGACGGGUGAGUAAUGCUUGGGAACAUGCCUUGAGGUGGGGGACAACAGUUGGAAACGACUGCUAAUACCGCAUAAUGUCUACGGACCAAAGGGGGCUUCGGCUCUCGCCUUUAGAUUGGCCCAAGUGGGAUUAGCUAGUUGGUGAGGUAAUGGCUCACCAAGGCAACGAUCCCUAGCUGGUUUGAGAGGAUGAUCAGCCACACUGGAACUGAGACACGGUCCAGACUCCUACGGGAGGCAGCAGUGGGGAAUAUUGCACAAUGGGCGAAAGCCUGAUGCAGCCAUGCCGCGUGUGUGAAGAAGGCCUUCGGGUUGUAAAGCACUUUCAGUCAGGAGGAAAGGGUGUGAGUUAAUACCUCACGUCUGUGACGUUACUGACAGAAGAAGCACCGGCUAACUCCGUGCCAGCAGCCGCGGUAAUACGGAGGGUGCGAGCGUUAAUCGGAAUUACUGGGCGUAAAGCGUACGCAGGCGGUUUGUUAAGCGAGAUGUGAAAGCCCCGGGCUCAACCUGGGAACUGCAUUUCGAACUGGCAAACUAGAGUGUGAUAGAGGGUGGUAGAAUUUCAGGUGUAGCGGUGAAAUGCGUAGAGAUCUGAAGGAAUACCGAUGGCGAAGGCAGCCACCUGGGUCAACACUGACGCUCAUGUACGAAAGCGUGGGGAGCAAACGGGAUUAGAUACCCCGGUAGUCCACGCCGUAAACGAUGUCUACUAGAAGCUCGGAACCUCGGUUCUGUUUUUCAAAGCCAACGCAUUAAGUAGACCGCCUGGGGAGUACGGCCGCAAGGUUAAAACUCAAAUGAAUUGACGGGGGCCCGCACAAGCGGUGAGCAUGUGUUUAAUUCGAUGCAACGCGAAGAACCUUACCUACACUUGACAUACAGAGAACUUUCUAGAGAUAGAUUGUGCCUUCGGGAACUCUGAUACAGGUGCUGCAUGCUGUCGUCAGCUCGUGUUGUGAGAUGUUGGUUAGUCCCGCAACGAGCGCAACCCCUAUUCUUAGUUGCUAGCAGGUAAUGCUGAAAACUCUAAGGAGACUGCCGUGAUAAUCCGAAGAAGUGGACGACGUCAAGUCAUCAUGGGCCUCAUCAGUGUAGAGGUAUACACGUGCUAUC
rnacentral:rRNA from 1 species